CUCUUUAAGCCUAUAAUUUAAAGUAAAUCCUGCUCAAUGUCUUUAAUAAAUAGCCGCAGUUAACUGUGCUAAGGUAGCAUAAUCAUUUGUUUCUUAAUUAGAAAAUAGUAUGAAUGGAUCAACGAAUUAGAGCUGUCUCCGCAUACCCUAAUAAAAUUAAUUUUUACGUUAAAAAUCGCAAAUAAAAAAACAAGACGAUAAGACCCUGAUAAACUCAUCUCAUUUAGUUGGGGCGACAAAAUAAAAACACCUUAUUACAAUAAUUCAACAUAACCUAUUAAACAAGUUAAGAAUAGUUACUACAGGGAUAACAGCGUUAUUUUUCUUUAGAGCCCUAAUCCAAAGAAAAGAUUACGACCUCGAUGUUGAAUUAAUUUGUCUAGAUGAAGCAAAAAUUAUCAAAGAAAGUCUGUUCGACUUACAACAARUU
rnacentral:rRNA from 1 species